rnacentral:rRNA from 1 species
AAUCAACGCUGGCGGCGUGCCUAACACAUGCAAGUCGAACGAGAAAGUGGGGGCAACCCUGCGAGUAGAGUGGCAGACGGGUGAGUAACACGUGAACAACCUACCCUUGAGUGGGGAAUAACACCGCGAAAGCGGUGCUAAAACCGCAUAAAAUCCUGUUAUCGCAUGGUGAUGGGAUCAAAAGCGCAAGUUGCUUGAGGAGGGGUUCGCGGCUGAUUAGCUAGUUGGUGAGGUAACGGCCCACCAAGGCAACGAUCAGUAGCCGGCCUGAGAGGGCGAACGGCCACACUGGAACUGAGACACGGUCCAGACUCCUACGGGAGGCAGCAGUGGGGAAUUUUGCGCAAUGGGCGAAAGCCUGACGCAGCAACGCCGCGUGGAGGAUGAAGGCCUUCGGGUCGUAAACUCCUGUCGAUGGGGACGAAAGCCUAGCAAUAGGAUUGACUGUACCCGUUGAGGAAGCCACGGCUAACUCCGUGCCAGC